rnacentral:rRNA from 1 species
UACGGGGGGGGCAAGCGUUGUUCGGAAUUACUGGGCGUAAAGGGCUCGUAGGCGGCCAACUAAGUCAGACGUGAAAUCCCUCGGCUUAACCGGGGAACUGCGUCUGAUACUGGAUGGCUUGAGGUUGGGAGAGGGAUGCGGAAUUCCAGGUGUAGCGGUGAAAUGCGUAGAUAUCUGGAGGAACACCGGUGGCGAAGGCGGCAUCCUGGACCGACAUUGACGCUGAGGCGCGAAAGCCAGGGGAGCAAACGGG